rnacentral:rRNA from 1 species
CAGCAGCCGCGGGAAAACGUAGGGUGCGAGCGUUAAUCGGAAUUACUGGGCGUAAAGCGUGCGCAGGCGGUUAUAUAAGACAGAUGUGAAAUCCCCGGGCUCAACCUGGGACCUGCAUUUGUGACUGUAUAGCUAGAGUACGGUAGAGGGGGAUGGAAUUCCGCGUGUAGCAGUGAAAUGCGUAGAUAUGCGGAGGAACACCGAUGGCGAAGGCAAUCCCCUGGACCUGUACUGACGCUCAUGCACGAAAGCGUGGGGAGCAAACAGGAUUAGAUACCCCCGUAGUCCCUGUCUCUUAUAC